UACGUAGGGGGCAAGCGUUAUCCGGAUUUACUGGGUGUAAAGGGAGCGUAGGUGGCGUGCCAAGUCAGGAGUGAAAACCCAGGGCCCAACCCUGGGACUGCUCUUGAAACUGGCAGGCUUGAGUGCUGGAGAGGUAAGCGGAAUUCCUAGUGUAGCGGUGAAAUGCGUAGAUAUACGGAGGAACACCAGUGGCGAAGGCGGCCUGCUGGACAUUAACUGACGCUGAGGCGCGAAAGCGUGGGGAGCAAACAGG
rnacentral:rRNA from 1 species